GCAUUUUAAAGUGGUAUUUUAAUAGUUAAUUCCUCACAUUUUGCUUAGUUAAUUCCUUAACGAAUCGAUUUUUAACUCAAUUUCUAUUUUCUUAGGUACAUUGGAGUAAAUGAUGGUGAAAUGAGCAUUAGGUCCACACUUACCUAUAAAUGGUGGAGAAAAAUGGAAAUGUACUAAAAUGUCAAUUUUACACAUUUUCCUACUCCGGCUAGGAGAAACCAAGCCAAGCAAGGAAGAAGGAGCGGCCGCCGGACCAAAUGAACUUCAAAUGAGCUGAAACUUUCCAGAUCCAUUCUACACAUCCUAAGGAUCAUUUCUUAUGAAGAGUGCCAGAGCUAUAAUUGAGUGGAAGGCCUUCAAACUGUCAGCCCAAUUUCCUGCAGAAGCAAAACUGGAAAACUGGACCUGUAAGAGGUCCAGCAGCAUUUCCAGCCCAAAGGCAUGGAAAUAAAUUCUGAAAUUUUACCAAAAUGAUCUACACUCAUGGUAGAUCAUUUCAUAUGAAGAAGUCACGAGCCAAAACUGAAUUCCUGUUGGAGAAAUAAUUGAAGGAAUAAAAGGGCAGAAACUGACCUAAAACAGCUCAACACCACAUGUUCAAGUUUCCUACCCACAUGAAGAAAGCUAGAUGCUUUUCUCUUUUUCCUUGGAUAUAUUUUUCUGCUCCAAUAGAUCAUCAUCACUUCCAUACUUCUGCACCUUCAUGCCUUGCUUUCAUUUCAUCAUUACUCCAUCUUUUCCAUAUUUUACAAACCACUUUCAUUAUUUUUCUUCCAUUUAUCAUUUCACUCUUCUUUUUCUUCCCUAUAUAAACACCUUCUCCUCUCACUCUAAGUACAUUCCUUCAUCCAUUUCAUCUUCUUUGUCUCUCCAUUUCCAUUCCAUUUUUCUCUCCAUUCUCUAGUUGCAAAAUUCUGCGUUUUCAAGUAAGAAGAAGAAGAAGAAGAAGGAGCCGGGAAUAUCAUAUCCUCCAUCGUCCACCUUGAAGGCUUGCUUCCAAGAUUCAAGAUUUCAACGUUUCAAGCACUCCAUCUCCAUCUCCAACUCACGGUGUGUACCCUCAAUCCCCGGAAUAGAACGAUCCCUAUUUGCUUAUACUACUAACGAUGUUUUCAGGGUUAAAUUAUGCGCUUGCUUUGAGCGUAUCAAUUUUUGGCGCCGUUGCCGGGGAAUUGAAAAAUCACUUGUUUUUGUUUAUAAUUAUUGUAUAUAAACUGUUUGAAACUUAGUUAAUUAAUUACUUAGGUUGUUUUUUUUAUAUUGUUGAACACGAGUUUUAAUUGUAAGUUGUAAAUUGAAUGGAAUAGGUGAAGUCGUGUUUAUUAAUAUUGGCCUAAACCCCUUAUUGGUACCUAGUUCAGGUCCCUUAAGGUUGAGGGCGGCCUUUAUUAACAUUCAUUGAACUGUCUAACACACUUAGGACCUUUUACAUCCUAGUAAGAAUAUCCUAUGUGAGAUGGUGUCUAGGAAUGGGACAACGUUCAUGACGGGUUUUUGAAUCCAGAAGUGCUUAUAAAUGGGCCUAGCUCAUGCCAAAAUGGAUUUUUCCUCUUGUGUUCGCCCUCCCCUACCUGGCCAUUUCAGUAAGGUUGCCCAACGGAUGUAGGAGGGACUUUGUGUCUAGACGACUAUACUUGGGCCGCACGUCCACUUGAUUUACCGCUUGGAAUUAGAUUUGAUAUCAAUAAUGUUUAUAACAAAAGAAAUACUUGUGCAUACUCUUUACGUGUAAAUUAUUUUGUUGUUUCACACUUUAUACUUGUAAAAAUACUUUUUUUACGUUUUAUACUCACUUGUAUACUUAACUUGUGUCUUAUGUACAAAAUACUUGUUAAUUAUACUUGUAGUUUGUAAUUCAUAGUUACUUGUUUUUUUUUUUUUUUGUAUUUCUUUGUUAAUAUUAAGUUACUAACUUUAUUUAAUGUAGGUACCGUCUGGCUGCAAGACGUAAAAUACAAGCGCUGCUUGGGAGGCAACCCAAUUCAGAAUAUAAUCAGAUUUGCUUUCUCUUCCCCUUUUACUCCUCCAUUUUCUUUUUGUUUUAGUAGUUAUUUUCGUAAAUUCCAUCCCUAUAUGCUUACUUAUUUCAUUGCAUGCUUUUAAUUGAUUACAUUGAGGAUAAUGCAAUAUUUAAGUGUGGGGGAAGGGAUUUAUAUUUUUGUCUUUCUUUUUGAGUCCUAUAAAUAUUUUUGAGUCCUAUAUUUUUUUAAAAAAAUAAUAAUAAUAAUAAAAAAUAAAAAAAAAUAAAUAAAUAAAUAAAAAUAAAUAUAAAAAAAAUAAAUAAAUAAAUAAAAAAAUAAAAUAAAAUGCAUUCAUUCAGUCUUAUUAAAUUCAGCUUUUUACAAAAAAAAAAAAAAAAUUAAAAAAAAAAAAAUAAAAUAAAAUAAUAAUAAUAAAAAUAAUACACUGUACUAUGCCAAAUCAGCAGCUCCGGAGGAGUUGAGACUGAGCUCAAGGGAAAUGCGAGAGCCACCGCCAUAACCGCUACCUCCCUCGGAAGUAGUCUUCAUGUUGCCAAAGAUGUCCUCACCAGGCAUGGGGAACAAUGGAAGGGUUUCAAUCUCCUGGUGAUCUCCUCCUCGUUGUUGCAGGGAUGUUUGUCCUCCUGUUGUGCCAAAAGAGUUGUACUGGUAUUAGUGUUGAAGUGUGAGGAAGAAUAUGAAACAAAAUUUAAAUCAAGAAAUCCUUCAUUACCAGUAGAAUCGGUGGAACCAAAGUUGAGAUUAAUGGAUCUACCAUCAUCAGUAGAACUAGUGGACCCAAAAUUGAUGUCAAUGGAUCCACCAGCUGGCCCAAAAUUGAUGUCGAUGGAUCCACCAGCACCAGUAGAACCAGUGGACCCAAAAUUGAGAUCAAUGGAUCCACCAGUACCAGGAGAACUAGUUCCCAUGGGCACUUGAGCAGCCUGAUUGCACCUCUCAUCUGCUUCUCUCGAGCCCUGACAUUCUGGAACCAAAAAUAAAUGUUCUUGCCCUCAACAUGUCCAUACUGGUUCAGCUGGAGACAGAUCUCGUGAAUGUGCUCUGUAGUUGGGCACUUAACUCCCUUGUCGUAGUAAAGAUCCUUGAGGAUCCUUAUUUGAUCUGGAGUAGGAACCCACCUGGCACGGCUUCGCCAGAAAUCUGUGUUGGCACUACUCCCGGCUGCUUGGUUGUUUCCUCCAUCCUCGAUUUGUUGCGGGGUUUGUAGCUCCAUCAGUUGCAGAGUUCGUGGUUCCAUGGUGAUGGGUUGAGGGGAUGUGAAGAUCGAAGAGUAAAGUUGUCAAGUGUUUGAAGGAGUUGUUGUUAAAGGGAUUAAGGAUGAUGAUGGUGUGUUGGAGAUCUGAAAGUUCAGAGGAAAGAUGGGAUUGAAUCAACUAGAUGGGAGAGAAGAUUAGAAGAGAAGGAUUGAAUCGAAGAAGAAAUAUUUUGAGUUUUGAAAGAAGAGGAAAGCUGAAGAGUUGGGAGAGAGGGGCUGGAACUCAGGAGAGAUUUUCGUUCCUUUGGAGUGAACAGUUGCGCCCUCAGAAUGCACCUAUUUAUAGAGCGAGGUGAGCAGAUCUCCACCGUUGGAUGGACGAUUCCUGUGAUUCAUUCUACGCGUUGGAUUAAAGUCGCCCUGAAACCCGGAAAAGUUGUUGGCGCGUGGAGAGCGUGUAAGGGGACCGAGGGAAUCUCGAGGCGCUGUGGCAGACAGCUGUAGCCGAAAGCAGAUUUGACUGCCGUAAAUCACGGAAGGGAUAAGCCGUGACACAAGUGGGCCGUACUUGGGCCUGUCUCGGAUCAAGGCAUCACUGUAGCUGUGGGUGGAGGCCUGAUGGGCCGAGUUUCAGAAACAGUUUUGGACAUGAUGGGCCGAGUUUCUGAAACAGUUUUGGAUACGUUGGGCUGGGUUUCUGCAACAGUCUUGGAUGUUUUGUGCCGAAUUGUUGAAACAGUUGAAACAGUUGGUUUAAAUAAAAGGAUUGGUAUGGAUAAUAACGUGAGCAGCCGUGCUCGAGUGGUUGAGUGUAAAGUUCGUGUACAAGAGGUCUGAGGUUCGAACCUCGCCUCUCGUUUAUUUUUAUUAUGUUCGUUUAUGACAUAAUAAGUAUAAAAUUUGUACACAUUAUAUUAAGCACAGCUUGUGCUCCAGUGGUUGGGGACAAAGGUUUCGUGCAGCAGGUUAAGGUUUCGAACCUUGCCUCCCCCGCUUUUUUUAUUUAUUUAUGUCACUCCAUCAGAACCCUCCUCCGAAGGCUGAAACCAGCAAGAAGGCUGCCACUCGCCCGCAUACUGCUCCUCCAAAGAAGUAAAUGGAGGUACAAGUCUAGGCUGAAAGACUUUAAACAUUAAGCGCUGCAUGGGAGGCAACCCAUUUCAACCGUAGCUGUGGAGGAGCCAUCAACGCAGAUUUGCUCUCUUAAACUCUAUCUCCUCUAUUACUAUUUUCUGAUUGUAUCUUUGUUAUUUGCGUUUUUAGUUUUUGUUUUUAGGUUUUCUUGAGUUAAUCAUUCCAUUCACAUGAUAAUUGUUCAUUGCAUGCUCUAACUUGUUUAACAUUGAGGACAAUGUAUGAUUUAAGUGUGGGGGGAAGGAUUAAUGCUUGUAGUUAGUUUUUGUCAUAAAAAGAAAACAAAAUAAAAAAUCAGAAAAAUCAGAAAAUUAAAAAAAUUAAAUUAAAAAAAAAAAAAAAAAAAAAUCGUUAACUUUGUUUUAGGUUUUAUAUUCAUGUUUUGGUUUUUGUUUAUCUUUGUUCUUUAGUUUGUUUGUUUUGUUUGUUUGUUGUUAGAGUCAAAAUGAAUUUUGGGUAAAUAUCUUCUUCAUCGUAGGCGCAUCCAAUGGGAUGUGAUGUCUAAAGGUCUAGUUUGGAUAUGAGAAGUGCUGACAAAGGGUCUCGUCCCCUGUAAAUCAAGUGAGCUGAGCUCCGCCAAAAUCGUUCCUCUCUUCACCUGGUCAUGUUCCAAAGGAGUUACCGAAAGGAGAAGAGAAAUAUCCCUAAGUCCAAAACGUUUUUUUUCUUGUAUGUUGCAUCACUUUAUGUGUUGUUCUUGUUUUUGUUUUGUUUUGAGUCUUAGGAUGCCUUUCAACUGUCUGGGAUGAUUCUAUAUCUCUGAAAUCAUGACUAAAAGAGGAUCACAACAUUGAGAUGAUUUUAACAUGGUAUUCUUUGGUUAAUUGAGAUAUAUGAAAAAUGUAUGCACUUGUAGUGGAUAUGGAUUGCAUGACCUUGGUACAGAAUAUGAGCAUGUUAAGAUGAGUUGUGAUUCAUAAAAUCCAUGUGAGAUAAUUGAACCAUGUCCCUUUUUCUUGGAGUGAAAUGAAAAAUAUAUUCUUAAUUUCUUGGCGAUGUUUUGAUGAUCUCAUUAUUCUUUCAUCUUGAUUGACUGCUUGCCAUAGAUUAAGUUUAAUUGACUAGAGAAUGCUAGAAUUCGCUCUUGUGCUUGUUGAGACGUGAUAUCAAUACAUGGCCCUGAUUCUGGAAGGGAUAGAGGUUCUCUAGGAAUUACCACCAUUGCUAAAUAAACUUGUGUCCCCAUUUGUGCCCGUCGUGGGACCCCCCUAGAUAAACCCCUUUGAGCCUACAUUAAGCCUUUUCUUUCAUCACCCUAAAAAUCCUUAACCCCUGAACCUUAGUAUAGUGAUAAUCCUACCCUUUGUUCUAAAAACUUAGUGGAGCUAUCUUUUGAGACAUACUACAUGGGUUUGGUGCUAAGGAUGAAGAUUGAGAAGAGGUGAAAGUUCAAGUGUGGGGAUAGACUUGUCCAUAAAGAAAAA